rnacentral:sRNA from 1 species
AUAACGCGACUGGGAAGCGGUUGUCUUCCCGUGUAUGAUUGAACCCGCAACGCGCCCGUCACAUUCGGGAGGGCGUUGAGGGUUCAUUUUAUA